rnacentral:rRNA from 1 species
AACGAACGCUGGCGGCAUGCCUAACACAUGCAAGUCGAACGAGACCUUCGGGUCUAGUGGCGCACGGGUGCGUAACGCGUGGGAACCUGCCCUUAGGUUCGGAAUAACUCCCCGAAAGGGGUGCUAAUACCGGAUAAUGUCUUCGGACCAAAGAUUUAUCGCCUUUGGAUGGGCCCGCGUUGGAUUAGCUAGUUGGUAGGGUAAAAGCCUACCAAGGCGACGAUCCAUAGCUGGUCUGAGAGGAUGAUCAGCCACACUGGGACUGAGACACGGCCCAGACUCCUGCGGGAGGCAGCAGUGGGUAAUAUUGGACAAUGGGCGAAAGCCUGAUCCAGCAAUGCCGCGUGAGUGAUGAAGGCCUUAGGGUUGUAAAGCUCUUUUACCCGGGAUGAUAAUGACAGUACCGGGAGAAUAAGCUCCGGCUAACUCCGUG